rnacentral:rRNA from 1 species
CCUACGGGAGGCAGCAGUGAGGAAUAUUGGUCAAUGGCCGGAAGGCUGAACCAGCCAUGCCGCGUGAAGGUCAGUGCCCUAUGGGCGUUAAACUUCUUUUGUGCGGGAGCAAUAAUGGUCACGUGUGGCCAGACGAGAGUACCGUACGAAUAAGCCUCGGCUAACUCCGUGCCAGCAGCCGCGGUAAUACGGGGGGUGCAAGCGUUAUCCGGAUUUAUUGGGUUUAAAGGGUGCGUAGGCUGUGAGGUAAGUCAGCGGUGAAAUGCCCCCGCUCAACGGGGUGAAGUGCCAUUGAUACUGCCUGGCUGGAAUGCGGAUGCCGUGGGAGGAAUGUGUGGUGUAGCGGUGAAAUGCAUAGAUAUCACACAGAACACCGAUUGCGAAGGCAUCUCACGAAUCCGCGAUUGACGCUGAUGCACGAAAGCGUGGGUAUCAAACAGGAUUAGAUACCCGGUUAGUC